AUUCAGCUGACGAGUCCCGAAAUAGGACGGAUCGCACGUCGUGGAU
rnacentral:hammerhead_ribozyme from 1 species